rnacentral:lncRNA from 1 species
UAGGAUGGCUUUCAUAUGCUUUGGAUGAAAUGAUCCAAACAUGCAUGUUGAGCUGCAUAUUUGUUUUCAUUUUUGUGCAAGAGUUGUCAUAAUGAGAAAUGAUGUGGCUCAUCGUGUUUUGCCUGCCAUUUUUAUUGACUUGUGUUGAGACUUGACUCUUGAGUCAUGUGAUGAACAGGUUAUUAGAUUCCAGUGCUUCUGAAAUCAAUGUUUAUGUGGCCAUUUAUUACCAUAUGGAAUGUACCUUGUGUUAGACAUGCUCUAUGUUUUCUGAACUUGUUGCUAUGUUUUCUCAUAUGGAAUGUACCUUGUGUUAGACAUGCUCUAUGUUUUCUGAACUUGUUGCUAUGUUUUCUCAUGUGGAUUGUUGCAUUGCCUUGCCCUAGAGGUUAUUGAAUCUUUACUUGAACAAGCAAACUUCUACAUGAAAGAAAUACCUUUAUCAGACUUGAGUUUCAGCAUUGGAGCUAGUGGUUUGCUAUGGUGUGAAUUGUAGCUCAUGCUGGAUGAUUCCGUUCUCCAGGGAUGGAAUUGUGAAAUAGGUUACUAUUCACUGAUAUAUGAACUAGGAAGUGAGAUGAUUGUGUUCUCCAGGGGGUAGAAUCCAGGUUUCUUUUAAUCUACUUAUUCUAGAUUUCGACUUUCUUUUCUUUUCUUUUUUAUUAUAUAACACAA